CAGAGGGGCAGGACUGGAGCUCCCAGAAACCCCUGAGGAGGCUGCUGUACACAUACAGGCAGCAGGGGACCAGGGUGGCCAGAGGAGGAUGGUGGCAGGAAAGAUGGAGAGGAGGGUUUGGAAGCCCAGGGGCCACACUCCACUCGGAGAUUGACUGAGUUUAGACAAACUGAGGGAGGAGUGUGGACAGACGCCCAGGUAGAUCUGCAAGCUGGCAAGGAGGACUGUCUGGAGAGAAGACCCUGUCACUUUGUGAGACCACCUGUCCUGUUUCACGUUAGUCUGGAGCUCCGUAGAAUAAAGUCUGUCCGGCGGUUCUGCCUUCAUCUGUAAAAAUGCUGUAUUUAUGGACCAAGAUCGAUUUUCCAUGUCUCAGAAAGUCUGUCAUUCUGCUCACGGCCAUUUGCCGACGAAUGUCUCUAGCAGAGAAGAGUAACAAGCAAGUUCAUGAGUUAUGGCUCUCCUUGAGCUUCUUUUAGUGAGACUAUUUUUAAUUUUAAGAAUAUCUGCUUUGAUUCAAGCCAUUAGAGCUGGAAGCAAAUAAAAAUGUGCCUGAAUUUUACAUGUCUCCCAUUUUAUAGCAGGAAUCCAGCUGAAGCCUACAUUUUAAUUCCUGCACUACUAAGGCCA
rnacentral:lncRNA from 1 species